rnacentral:rRNA from 1 species
GUCUAGGUCCAUAUCAUCCUGAACACACUCAACCUUGUCUGACUUCAGAUGCUAAGCAAGAUUAAGUCUGGUUAGUACUUGGAUAGGAGAUAGCUUCUGGAAACAUAUCACAAGUAAGCC